CAUCGACGCGUACGGGUGUUGGGAGACAUAGCCCGGAGAUGGAUUCUGAGACACGAAUCCAGACCCUACGGGGUGCAGCAGGCGCGAAAACUUCACACUGCAGGAAACUGUGAUGAGGGAACUCCAAGUGCUAUCACUAUGUGGUAGCUUUUCUUAACUAUUAAUCGGUUUUGGAAUAAGGGCUGGGAAAGACCGGUGCCAGCCGCCGCGGUAAUACCGGCAGCUCAAGUGGUCGUCGCUUUUAUUGGGCCUAAAACGUCCGUAGCCUGUUUGGUAAAUCUGUGGGUAAAUCAACCAGCUUAACUGGUUGAAUUCUGCAGAGACUGCCAGACUAGGGACCGGGAGAGGUGUGGGGUACUCUAGGGGUAGGGGUAAAAUCCUGUCAUCCUUAGAGGACCACCAGUUGCGAAGGCGCCACACUGGAACGG
rnacentral:rRNA from 1 species